GCCAGAAUUGCACACUUCCUCUGGACAAUCUUCGCCACAAAAAGCUAGAAGAAUUUAAACCUCUUCUAACUUCUAGUUGGAAAUUACUUCCAAGCUCCAAGGCAUUGUAACUGGGGGAUUCACCAAAGGUGCGCUGGGGAACCCAUCCCAGAUGUUUGCAGUUCCCCUGCUGCAGCCAUGUUUUUCCAAAUUAAGAUGAUGAAAUUGGAUGCUGUGGUGUAAAGAAACACCAUUGAGGAGUACGUCAGGAGCAUAGAGACUGACAACCUAGCUGUUUGCAUCAUGGCUUACAGAGAGCAGAGAUGAAGGACAAGAGAGUGAUCAAGGUGCCUGGCUGGGUAGAGGAAGAAGCAACACCCUCAGGUAGAAGGCGUGGCUGUGGCUUCUGCACACACCACUGAAGAACCACAAUGAGCUGUCCCGGGUUGCCGCCUAGCUAGACCCAGGGUCUACAGAUGGCUCUUGCCAU